UUUUUUGUUUUCUGAGAGCUCUUUGCUCUAUGGCAACUGCAAAUCCCUUCUUCUUCUGGGCUAUGGCGAUAUCACUAAAAAUUGUCGUUCCUUACAAAGAAUCUCACACUAAACGAAGAAAAUUAACAACAGAUAACAAUUCAGGUUAGGUAUACGAUUGGAAUCCCAAUUCCUAAAGUGUGUGUGUGUGUGUGUGUGAGAUAGUGAGAUCGAUUAAAGAAAUGGUUGGUGACAGGAAAGGAGUUGUAGACAGGUAAUGAAACCUACAUACGAUGAUUGGAAGAAAAAGAAAAAGAAAACACAAAGGAAAUUACUCAGACACUGCCUUUACUUCAUGCCCCGUUUACUUGUCAAUGUUAGCCAAUUUAUUGUAACAC
rnacentral:lncRNA from 1 species